rnacentral:lncRNA from 1 species
GAGAUCUCAACUAGUCGCAUUUCUGGUGAUGGCUGGAUAUGACCUGCAUGAUUGCUUGCUUUUUCCUCUUUGAAGCUGAACUUUAUUGCCAUAUCUUAUAACCUAACUAUGAUUCUCUGUCUGGGACACAGUCUUCUGUAAUGUGAGUGAUACAAAUCUCCAGAAACCAAACAGGAAUUAGCUGAAGGAAGAAUGACUGUCAUUAUAUGCAUGCCUAAAAUGAAGUCAGUAGAACAAAAGCAGAGUUGGGCUCAUGAUUCUGUGUGAAGAUCAAUCCAUAUGAAGCUAAUCUUACUGAUACAAACCUGUUCUCAGGAUAUCUAGG